GAUGACAUUCACCGUAGGGUUCCCUAUGAACCCGGUCCGUCCACCAUCUCCCAGGAUAUCUAGUGAGGCUGUCACCUUAUCUGUUUUCCCUUAGUCUCCGUUACCAAGUUGAACAUAAUCACAUAAACAAUAAACAUGCACCCGGUAAUACAAUCAUAUCUUAAAUUCUAAAAUCACAUAGUGGUCAAGUAAGACAGUAACACAUGCAUUUAAAACUAUAAAAUAGAUAGACCAGAUACCAUAG
rnacentral:lncRNA from 1 species